rnacentral:rRNA from 1 species
UAGGGAAUCUUCCGCAAUGGGCGAAAGCCUGCCUGAGCAACGCCGCGUGAGUGAUGAAGGUCUUCGGAUCGUAAAACUCUGUUAUUAGGGAAGAACAAAUGUGUAAGUAACUAUGCACGUCUUGACGGUACCUAAUCAGAAAGCCACGGCUAACUACGUGCCAGCAGCCGCGGUAAUACGUAGGUGGCAAGCGUUAUCCGGAAUUAUUGGGCGUAAAGCGCGCGUAGGCGGUUUUUUUAGUCUGAUGGGAAAGCCCACGGCUCAACCGUGGAGGGUCAUUGGAAAAUGGAAAACUUGAGUGCAGAAGAGGAAAGUGGAAUUCCAGGUGUAGCGGUGAAAUGCGCAGAGAUAUGGAGGAACACCAGUGGAGAAGGGGACUUUCUGGUCUGUAACUGACGCUGAUGUGCGAAAGCGUGGGGAUCAAACAGG